UACAGAGGUCCCAAGCGUUGUUCGGAUUCAUUGGGCGUAAAGGGUGCGUAGGUGGCGCUGUAAGUCGGGUGUGAAAUUUCGGAGCUUAACUCCGAAACUGCAUUCGAUACUGCGGUGCUUGAGGACUGGAGAGGGAGACUGGAAUUCAUGGUGUAGCAGUGAAAUGCGUAGAGAUCAUGAGGAAGACCAGUGGCGAAGGCGGGUCUCUGGACAGUUCCUGACACUGAGGCACGAAGGCCAGGGGAGCAAACGGG
rnacentral:rRNA from 1 species